UCCGAUUUGUCACCGGCAGUCUCCUUAGAGUGCCCGACUUAACGAUGGCAACUAAGGACAAGGGUUGCGCUCGUUGCGGGACUUAACCCAACAUCUCACGGCACGAGCUGACGACAGCCAUGCAGCACCUAGUUUCGUGCCCUUGCGGGAAUCCCGAUUUCUCGGGACGUCACUAACUUUCAAGCCCAGGUAAGGUUCCUCGCGUAUCAUCGAAUUAAACCACAUGCUCCUCCGCUUGUGCGGGCCCCCGUCAAUUCCUUUGAGUUUCAAUCUUGCGACCGUACUUCCCAGGUGGAUUACUUAAUGCUUUCGCUCAGACGCGUACAGUGUAUCGCACACAUCGAGUAAUCAUCGUUUAGGGCGUGGACUAC
rnacentral:misc_RNA from 1 species